rnacentral:rRNA from 1 species
GACGAACGCUGGCGGCGCGCCUAACACAUGCAAGUCGAACGAGAGAUGAGGAGCUUGCUCUUCAGAUCGAGUGGCGAACGGGUGAGUAACGCGUGAGGAACCUGCCUCAAAGAGGGGGACAACAGUUGGAACGACUGCUAAUACCGCAUAAGCCCACGGCUCGGCAUCGAGCAGAGGGAAAGGAGCAAUCCGCUUUGAGAUGGCCUCGCGUCCGAUUAGCUUGUUGGUGAGGUAACGGCCCACCAAGGCGACGAUCAGUAGCCGACUUGAGAGAGUGAUCGGCCACAUUGGGACUGAGACACGGCCCAAACUCCUACGGGAGGCAGCAGUAGGGAAUAUUGCACAAUGGGGGAAACCCUGAUGCAGCGACGCCGCGUGAAGGAAGAAGUAUUUCGGUAUGUAAACUUCUAUCAGCAAGGAGAAAAUGACGGUACUUGACUAAGAAGCCCCCGGCUAAAAUACGUGCCAGCAGCCG